rnacentral:misc_RNA from 1 species
AAAGCUCAGCUGAACUAGUGAACUGCGUGCGGCUGUGAGUGUCUUCAAUCUCACUAAGAUUGGAUAGCCUUCUUCAAAACUUUGCAAAUCCAAACUAAUUCUCUUUUUCUGUGUGUAGUUUUUGCACGAGCUCAACUUAUCUAAUUAGCUAGCAGUUAGCUAUGUCUUUUGCAACUGAAGAGAAGAAAUUGGUUGUUAGGCUAUUGUUUGGCAUUGUAGAAGUUUUGGAGUCCAAGACACCUGAUGAAGCUGUGAACGUGGUGGAAGACUUUAUCCCCGGCAUCACACGUGCAAUCACCAAACGACCAAAUGGGAUCGAUCGUCAAAUCAAGCUUGAUUACUUGCUCCCGAUGCUCCUAGACCUUGUUCAGCUCAGAGAGGGUUUCAUCAAUUUGAGUUCCUUUAAAGCAAAGUUUGAUCAGAUUGGUGUCGCACUCAGGGCCGAGUUCAAAAAUUUUGACAAAUCCAAAACCGACCCCAUCGCUGCACUUGAUAAGCUUCUAAAGAUUGCUUCCCCAGAAACUGUCCCUCUCCCUUUGUCUCCACCUCCCGAAAGAUCCUCUCUUCACUUCACUCUCCCUCCACCAAAUUUAAAGGAUGAGAAACUAGCUGGAGAGAAUUCAGAAGAGUAUUGCAGUGCCUUUGUAGAUAGUCCUGCUCCAACUGAAUCUUCUUGUUCCCUGUCUUCUGAUGGAGAAGAUAGGACUAAGGUUGAGCAGCAAACCAAAGCCAGUAUUACGGAGAGCAUUCUGUAUACGUUCCCCUACGAUGUGACACCAGGGAUUAUUGAUCAGCUGCAAUCAAUUGCUGACUAUUCAAAUUGCAUCAUGACGCCCGUAAAGACGUUUCAAGGCACUUCUUUCUUUAUAAAUGCUGCUAAAGAGUGGGACCGGCGUAAGUGCAUUGAUGGCUUUCAUGAUUUUGAAAGAAAGCAUUCUUCUAAGAAAUUUGCCAAAAUGUCAUCUCUUCCCACUAGCCCAUUGAUGAGUCCAUCAAGAAGUCCCACCACAGAUAAAACGAAACCUGAGAACUGAAAGUCCGCAACUCUUAGAGUCUCUCUAUUUGAUUGGUCAGCACUACGACAUCCUAAUGUAGCUCUCUUCCCUUUACUUAAUGCAUGUAGUGACACAUUUUAACCCUUUAAUAAAUGUGAUCUGCAUAACCAAUUCAUUUGAGUUUACAGUCUCUCUCUCUCUCUCAGUUAUCACUUACAUUGUAUAUUAUUCAAAUCACUUACUUAAUCGCUUGUUAAUUUAAUAGGAUUUUUCAUCCAUCAUGAUCAUUUGUGCUUAUAAACACUUAUCAACAGACACUUUUACUUAUUCAUUUCUUCAUUCAUUUAUUCACUUCUUCAUUCAUUUAUUCACUUAUCUGUUAUGUUACGUAAAA